rnacentral:sRNA from 1 species
GCAUAUCAAUAAGCGGAGGAAAAGAAACCAACAGGGGAUUGCCCUAGUAACGGCGAGUGAAGCGGCAACAGCUCAAAUUUGAAAUCUGGCUCUAUUUUGGAGUCCGAGUUGUAAUUUGUAGAGGGCGCUUUGGCGUCGGCAGCGGUCUAAGUUCCUUGGAACAGGACGUCACAGAGGGUGAGAAUCCCGUAUGUGGUCGCGUGCCUUCGCCGUGUAAAGCCCCUUCGACGAGUCGAGUUGUUUGGGAAUGCAGCUCUAAAUGGGAGGUAAAUUUCUUCUAAAGCUAAAUACUGGCCAGAGACCGAUAGCGCACAAGUAGAGUGAUCGAAAGAUGAAAAGCACUUUGGAAAGAGAGUCAAAAAGCACGUGAAAUUGUUGAAAGGGAAGCGCUUGCAGCCAGACUUGCCUGCGGUUGCUCAUCCGGGCUCUCGCCCGGUGCACUCUUCCGUAGGCAGGCCAGCAUCAGUUUGGGCGGCUGGAUAAAGGCCUCUGUCAUGUACCUUCCCUCGGGAAGGCCUUAUAGGGGAGGCGUAAUGCAGCCAGCCUGGACUGAGGUCCGCGCAUUUGCUAGGAUGCUGGCGUAAUGGCUGUAAGCGGCCCGUCUUGAAACACGGACCAAGGAGUCUAACAUCUAUGCGAGUGUUUGGGUGUCAAGCCCGGGCGCGCAAUGAAAGUGAACGGAGGUGGGAACCCUUUGCGGGGUGCACCAUCGACCGAUCCUGAUGUCUUCGGAUGGAUUUGAGUAAGAGCAUAGCUGUUGGGACCCGAAAGAUGGUGAACUAUGCUUGAAUAGGGUGAAGCCAGAGGAAACUCUGGUGGAGGCUCGCAGCGGUUCUGACGUGCAAAUCGAUCGUCAAAUUUGGGCAUAGGGGCGAAAGACUAAUCGAACUAUCUAGUAGCUGGGUUCCUGC